AUUAAAUCAUAUCCAUUUUUUACUCAUCGAAUAGGCAAACAUUUUCUAUUAAAUAAGUGAAUGAAUAAAAACUAAAACCUAAAUAAAACUAAAUCAUAUCCAUUUUUCACUCAUCGAAUAGGCAAACAUUUUCAACCCUAAUCUUUUCUAUCCUCCACAGCCUUCCCCAAACGCUGCAUCUUCUGCCGCCACAGGAGCUACCAUGAACAGAGACGUGGCAACCAGAACGACCACGCCAGGGCAUCCAUAGACGUGGCAACCAGAGCGACCAGGGCACGGCAUUCAGAGACGUGCUUUCUCCUCGGCGUUCCACAUACAAUGUCGACGACAUGGCUCGUAUGGUGGUAUGGAUCCCUACAGUUUGCAACUGUGUCUGUUGACACAAGAAAUGAAAUGGUUUGCAACCCUUUCGAGCAGGUCCCAGAUUUGGUGGUUGCAAACUAGAAUCUGAACAUUUAUAUUCAGAAGCUGGCUAUUAGAGGAUGAAAAGUUGAACAAUUGUGAAUGAGUGAUGGCACUGUUUUGCCUCACAAGUUGGUCAACCAAAUAUCAGUGAUUUGACACUUUAUCAUGUAAAAAUGUACAAAUUGUAAUACAAUAUUUUAUAUUUGUUUUAUAAAAUUGUACAACUAUUAAUAUAAUCAUUUUACAACUGUAUUUUAUAUCACAUCAAAAGUGUGCUGAGUUGUAGGAAUGUUGUUUUAAUUUAUUUAAUGUGAAACAUGUAUUGAAUGUUUUUUGUUUAAUAGUUGCAUGGAAUUUAGUAAAUCAAUGAUAC